AGGAGGCGGCCGUGCGGAAGUGGUACGGGGCAGCGCGCUGCUCCAACGCCGCAGGGCAGCUCCGGGCUCCGAGCGUCGCCUCAGCUUCAGCUUCAGCUUCAGCUUCUACAAGCUAGCUCAUGCUGGAAGUUGGUGGUGUCACUGUAUGAAUGAAGGUCAGUUCAGGAGUAGCUGCUGAUGGAAGGAAUAAAGUCCACGUUAAUGAACUGAAGCAUCUCCUGAGGUCAUGAGCAUUUGGGACAGU